CCUACGGGUGGCUGCAGUGAGGAAUAUUGGUCAAUGGCCGGAAUGCUGAACCAGCCAUGCCGCGUGAAGGUCAGUGCCCUAUGGGCGUUAAACUUCUUUUGUGCGGGAGCAAUAAUGGUCACGUGUGGCCAGACGAGAGUACCGUACGAAUAAGCAUCGGCUAACUCCGUGCCAGCAGCCGCGGUUAUACGGGGGAUGCAAGCGUUAUCCGGAUUUAUUUGGUUUAAAGGGUGCGUAGGCUGUGAGGUAAGUCAGCGGGGAAAUGCCCCCGCUCAACGGGGUGAAGUGCCAUUGAUACUGGCUGGCUGGAAUGCGGAUGCGGUGGGAGGAAUGUGUGGUGUAGCGGUGAAAUGCAUAGAUAUCGCACAGAACACCGAUUGCGAAGGCAUCUCGCGAAUCCGCGAUUGACGCUGAUGCACGAAAGCGUGGGUAUCAAACAGGAUUAGAUACCCGGGUAGUC
rnacentral:rRNA from 1 species